rnacentral:rRNA from 1 species
AUACGGAGGGUGCAAGCGUUAUCCGGAAUCAUUGGGUUUAAAGGGUCCGUAGGCGGGCGAUUAAGUCAGAGGUGAAAUCCCACAGCUCAACUGUGGAACUGCCUUUGAUACUGGUUGUCUUGAGUUACAGUGAAGUAGAUAGAAUGUGUAGUGUAGCGGUGAAAUGCAUAGAUAUUACACAGAAUACCGAUUGCGAAGGCAGUCUACUAACUGUAUACUGACGCUAAUGGACGAAAGCGUGGGGAGCGGACAGGAGUAGAUACCCCAGUAGUCC